AACCACCACCACCACCCCUGUUUGUUUUGUUGUGUGGUUGGGGGAAGUCAUUGCCGCUGGAUGGGAGGAGGUGCGAGUGCAAGAUCCAUCAGCCCACUGGACACAAAGGCAGAAUUUGCUCAUUCCUCUUCCCAGAGACUUUCAAGGGUGCCCAUGGAUUUCUGGUGGAGCAGUACAGAUAUCUUCCAUUUUCUACUACCAUACACUGCCACACAAUCCACUCUCCAAAAGAAGAAGCUUUAUGGACCUUUAUUUUGUUGUUGUUCUUUGUUUGUUUUCUUUUUUUUUCUUAUUUAUGUAAAUGAUUAAAUAUUUAUGCACUUUUAGUUCUAGAUAUCUAAAUUGUGAAUUCCAUUUGACAUCUUUCGAAGUACAUGCUGAUGUCCUCAGUCAAAGUACUUCAACAUUCAACUUUUUGUCCUUGAGCUUCAUAGUCAAAACAACAAAUAUUUAAGACUAAUUAGGACAAAAUUAGAAUUCCGGGGGACAAAGUGCAGUUUUAAGAUAUAAAAUUAUUGUGUAAUUAGGUUUUGUUUGAUGAAUAAGUGGAAUAAAAGGACAGAGAGGUUUCUUUUCAGUACUUUCCAACUGAAAUGUUGUGACAGUUCAGGCUCCAAUUUGACAUGCUUAACAAAAUGCUUGAGUUGAUCCAGAAAGAAAAUUUGUCUUUUUUUUUUUCAAACUAUGUGGGCAAAAAGAUGCUUUGGACUGAUCCAGAAUGAUAAAUAUAUAUCAUAUAAAUAUUUAUUAUAUAAGUGUAUGUUAUAAAUUUAUCUAUCUCCAAAUAUAUAUUAUGUAAUUUAUUAUAUAACUUGCUAUUUAGAUGUGAACUGAAAACCUCCAGCAUUCUUUGCAAGUCAGCUUUAUAACCUCUCCAUUGCAACGUGGCUCUUACAGCCUCAUAUGAGAUACUUAUGAGUGAGUUUCUUAGGACUUUCCUUGCUGCAUGGCUCCUGUCUCUAGAGAUAGAUCUCUACUGUGAGUGUCAGGGUACUUCUAAGACAGUCCUGUCUGCCCACUGCCCAUAAAUAAGAGCCCAGAGUGUCUGUACUAUGAAUCAUAUUGCAAUGCUUCCAGUUAUAUGUGAUGUAUACUUUCUGAUAUGAGAUGUGUUACUACUGAGGAGAAAAUGAUUUUCAAAGAUACUCUUUCUAAAAGAACGUCUCACUCAUUAUUUGGCGUGAACAAAUUAUUAUAUUCAGUUCCUUGAAUCUGUCCUUCACUUGAUGCAUUUUUCUGAUUAAGAGCUCUAAAACACUCUGUGAAUGGAAGACACUCUGUAAUCUGCUUCCAGUCCAUAAACAUAAGAAUUCUUGAUUUGAUUUUUGUGGUGUUAUGGAAUAUUACUGCUCUUUGAUGGGAUAAACAAAGGACCAUGUGUGUGGAUUUAAGGUUAAUGUCAAUGUUAAAUUAAGAUGCAGUCUUGAAAUUUGACCAAUCAAAGCUGCAGAAAAUCUGGAGAAAACUGAUUUUUUUGUUGUUUGAGUUUCUGA
ensembl:lncRNA